GAGCUCUCACUUCUCUGGUCAGGGUUCUGUCUUUCCUCUGUUUUUUAUAGUGAUACGAUGGUCAUUUGAAUCAUAGAUACAAAAAAUCUAACUGUUGAUAUAAGGAGAUCAGAACUGCGUGUAUUUCAUGUUGUGCUUUGAAGAAGUAACGUCCUUGCAAAAACCAAAGAGCUCAGAGGAUUUCCUCUGUCAUUUUCCUGCUACCAGCCGUCAUGCGUUGCAUUCUCUUCCAAAAGAGAAGGUGAAAAGGAGCGAGACAAAGAAGAAAGGGAUCACAGUAUCUCAAUUUUAUUUUCUUUCCUGAAAAGUAUUCUCUUUGGACAGACAGUAAUUGUAGUUUCUAAUGACACAAACUUGAAGGGAAACAGAAGAAGACUACAAACAGGUUUAUGGGCCUAUCAGCGGGAAUAUGUGGCUACAAAUUGCUGAGUAAAUGAAACAGCCUGUUGUUUCCUAAGACUGAGAUUGUGAGUGUUAUGCCAAAGUAUUUGAGGAGGAGCUAGAGCACCAGGCGGUGUAAAGAAUACCUGCUGAGCCCUAAUUGGUGCCCACUGUUGUUAAUGGCUUCCUGUGGCUGAGUGUUUACUUGUCAUUUGUUUUGUGCUUUGUUUCCCAGCUACUGGAAGGAAUAAAAAUACUGACCAAAACUUUAUUUUGCUUUUAAGUGUAUCCCUGGACAUCAAGUGCUGCACUGCAAAUUGUCUCACGAUGCUAAGUACCUCAAGUCCAUUCCUCAGACCUGUAAUUAUCUGGUGCGCCUCAAAAGUUACAUUGCAUUGGAUGCUGGUUUUGAAUUUUGAAAAUUAUCUGAUUUAUUACAGUCUGUAUUAUAUGAUUUUAAAAACUGUGUUAUGUGAAUGCCUGGGGAGUUUGUCUACAACAAGACUUUUGUAUGGUUGGACAAACAAACAAACAAAAAAAAACCCAAAACGCCGCCUUAGACAAAAUCAGACUUUUCUUAAACAUCCGUUCUCCAAAAAUAUUCAUUUCUUCCAUAAACCUCAGCUUUUAUGGGAUACAUGUGAGUAGUCUGUGAGAGACGACAAAGGAUGGAACCUUGUGUGCUGAAGGCUUAACGAAGAAGUUCCCACCUGUGAUGCAAAUCUUGGAUUUAGAGAUAUUUUUUUCUGUCCUAUUCCAAAGGGACAUAAGAAACAAACAAACAUACAAAAUGAACCACUAUCACGCUGUCCAGGUUGAUGUUUCAGAUCCUUGCUUGCUCUGUUGUUGUCUCCCUAGCAAGGCUGCCUGCUAGUGCCAACUAUGGUGUGAACACCUCCCUGCUGGGAACAGGAGUGAAACUGCCAUUUUUAAUUGGGACACUGAAUAAUUUGUGGUGAAUAGCCAUGUAUGCUCAUUACUGAUCAAGGAAGAAUUAGAACCAGUGAAAACUUUCUAAUCCCAUAAUCUUGACUCAUCUAUUUAUAUCGCAUUGUACUUUUAUUUUAUUUUACUUUGUUUUGUUUUAUUAUUUUUAGCUGGUCAAGGGGAAGGUUUAACUUCAUUAAACCUAAAAAGCAAUGUGGAUUUCUGGGGAAAAAAUACCUUUUUAGUAUGUUAGAUUUCAGCCACUGUUUGAGAUGCCCUCUCAGACAAAGCAGAUAAUGCAGGAGCAAGUUUCAGUUAAAUAGAGAACAUUCUUGCAUUGUUGAUUACUAAAUAAUAAUCAAGUGUUUUUGGGUUUUGAUUCUCUCUCUUGUUCUCUUAGACUAUUAUUGGAUUGUGGAAUGAACUAUAUAUUUGUGGGAUCUUAAAGAAUCAUCAGGAAUUUGAAGACUUUUGGAUGCUGAUUCCAAAGGGCUGCCACACUUCACAGCUUAAAGAUAAACUUGGGGAUAUAAAAUGAAAAAGAUGGAGGUCGUGAAUGUUUGUUCAUAACUGAAUGUUUAGGGAGUUUAGAUUUAAAAACAAAAGAAAAGGUUUCAAAAACUGGCAGCAACGUGACAGCAAGAAAAAAAAAAGGUGAUGUUCAUGAUUGACUCGGCUGUAGUAUUGAGGUGAUUACUCAAGUACAGUAGUCUUUGUUGGGUUGGGAUGAGAAUUACUGGGACUUUUGGUUGUGAUAAUUUUCAUAAAGCUCACUCAUUUUGAUCCUCUUUAAAGUCAUUGAAAUAUGUUGAUAGUUAAUAUUUUGUUAUCUUGCUCCUUUCUUAAGCAUUCCCUAUUUUUUUU
rnacentral:lncRNA from 1 species